rfam:Erinaceus europaeus unplaced genomic scaffold scaffold00091, whole genome shotgun sequence
GGAUGUGAGGGUGAUCUGGCUGCGACAUCUGUCACCCCAGGGUUGAUCGCCAGGGUUGAUUCGGCUGAUCUGGCUGGCUAGGUGGGUGACCCCUUCCUCCCUCACUGCUCCAUGUGAAUCCCUCCCAAAGCUGCGCGCUCGGUCCGAAAAGGAUGGCCUUCCCCGAAUAGAGACGGACUGGUCUUCGGUCAAGGGUAUACGAAUAGCUGUGCUCCCCUGCUAGAACCUCCAAACAAGCUCUCAAGAAUCCACAACUCCUGCAGUAAUUUUCUGUAGGGAAACUGUGAGGAUGUGGUAGAGCCUGGCAGGGCUUGACCUGAGGGGUGCAUCCGUCCUGUCAGUCCCU